CCGCUCACGCCGCGCCCCCGCUGGCACGCAACUUCCGACUUUCAGACAUGUACGGUUUGUUUACAAGACGCAGAUGGACCAUAUUGCCAUAUUGAGUCAUGGCGGCAACAACUCCCGGGAAGCACCUGAGGGACAUGGCAAGCAUCCGAAAAUGGUGGUGCAUUAGUCUAAUGGAACGGUUCCAGAUUGACGGCCAUGGACAGAGGUUUGCAUACUGGACUAAUGAGGCCAGAGCAUUGCUCCAAGGUUCACUGCAGCCGAUAUACAGGGUCCCAAAGGUCAGCAAGAGGGAACAUGAGGUGUCGCUACAUGGAGCAGGUUUUCUGAGUCCUAAAGAAAAUAAUUCUACACCAUGUACUCCAUGGACACCUGUCGUGAAUGUGGAAUGCUUUUCAAAAACUGCACACCUGGAUAUGUUAGAACAGGACAAAGGGGUGUACUUGAAGCAGUUUACUCAGAAGACCCACAUCCAGGUUACUGCGAUCACUUUAGCCGCCAAAUGCAAUAGUGAGAACGGACACGUAUACUAACUGUUGGCAGACAACCCUGAGCCAGCUGGGUGUUUUUCAAGCUGCAGGCCCCCGUGACAAUUUGUGGCUGGAAACUUGGGAUUGAAUUUUGAAUUCUCCAGUGUUAUUACAGACUGUUAAUUAAUUGGUUAUGGCAAAAAAGAGAUGUCAUAUGUUUAAACAACCUUUGGGUGAACUUUUUGUAUAAUUUUAAAAAUGUUAAAACUAACAUCUAUUGAGAGUCUACUUUAUGCUUUUUUGGUUUUAAUAACAUCCUGUUCAAUGUGGAAUAAAAUUCAAAUCCUCUGAAUAUUGAGUCCAUUUCUGAACACUGGGGAGAUCGUGUGUACAACUGGUGAUCCGGUUUAUUGAAUGCAUUGCACCAAUAUGAUUUCUACCCAGUGCUGUACAUUUAUCAUUUGUUAAUAUAAUAAGACAGACAGUCUGACAUUUCCAUACCCACAGGAUUAAAGGGCCUACAUCUAC
ensembl:lncRNA